rnacentral:rRNA from 1 species
AUUGAACGCUGGCGGCAUGCCUUACACAUGCAAGUCGAACGGCAGCACGGGUGCUUGCCCCUGGUGGCGAGUGGCGAACGGGUGAGUAAUACAUCGGAACAUGUCCUGUAGUGGGGGAUAGCCCGGCGAAAGCCGGAUUAAUACCGCAUACGAUCUACGGAUGAAAGCGGGGGACCUUCGGGCCUCGCGCUAUAGGGUUGGCCGAUGGCUGAUUAGCUAGUUGGUGGGGUAAAGGCCUACCAAGGCGACGAUCAGUAGCUGGUCUGAGAGGACGACCAGCCACACUGGGGCUGAGACACGGCCCAGACUCCUACGGGAGGCAGCAGUGGGGAAUUUUGGACAAUGGGCGAAAGCCUGAUCCAGCAAUGCCGCGUGUGUGAAGAAGGCCUUCGGGUUGUAAAGCACUUUUGUCCGGAAAGAAAUCCUUGGCCCUAAUACGGUCGGGGGAUGACGGUACCGGAAGAAUAAGCACCGGCUAACUACGUG